AUAGACCAAAGAAACGCCCUGGAAAGGGCUUCCUGUCGGCGGAAAAAACAACCUAAUGUCCGAGAUGAAAAUGCACAUGCCCUUCAUUCAUCAGGCAAGCUUAAAGUGUUUUAACCAUGAUAGUCGGUACCGUCAAAACCAUUAAGCUGACAUAUGUUUGGACAACUUUGGUUCACCAGACAACCCAACUAGCUCUAACUAUACAGCAUUAUCGCAUGAUGCGUCAACAUUUCCUGCUACAACUACGGUCACAUCUGGUCUCAUUAAUGAAAAUGAAAUACAAGGUAAUCAUAUUUUGCCUACUCAUUCAACAAUGGCUGGCAUGUUUCUGUUAUAUUCUCUAAUUUUAGGGUUUGCCCUGAAUGACACCAGAUGCAAAUGUGAUCAUGUAUGACACCCAAGAAACAGAGCAUAAAACGGAAGAAGAAAGCAAGAGAGGCCAUAGAAACACACUGAGAAGGGCUUCAUAUCGGCGGAAAAAACAACCUAAUGUCCGAGAUGAAAAUGCACGGACCCUUCUUUUAUCAGACAACCCAACCAGCUCUAAAACAUUUCCUGGUUCAAAUACGGUCUCAUCUGGACUCAUCUAUGACAACGAGCUUCAAGAAACAGAGCAAAAAACGGAAGAAGAACGCAAGAGAGACCAUAGAAACGCCCUGAGGAGGGCUUCCUAUCGGCGG